UUUUGAGAGCACAUGCAUACGGAUCUUUAGCUCCCGAGUUCCCAGGGGCGGGCCCGCGUUAGCCCAACAUGGUUGCACAAGACACAGGGCUCGUUUUUUUUACAUAUAUAGAGCCCAUAUAGAGCUGGACGCCCCCUGAAUUCAAAUAGCUAGCCCACACAACAGCCAAAAGUCCAACUACUCCUGAGCUUCUCUUCCUUCCGCGCGUGGCCUAUAGGCGAGACCCGGAGCUUUUCUUCCUUCCGCGCGUGGCCCAUAGACGAGGCCUAGAGCUUUUCUUCCUUCUGCGCGUGUGCAAAUUCAGCCCAACAAGACGGCCCAUCAUCCAGUCCAGCCGAAGAGGUCGCUGACACCGAGCCUGCGCUCUACAGAGCAUCGACCAGGUUGACAUGCAGCGACGGACCUAGGAUAUAUGUAAAGGUUUGGCGGAUUUUACACAACAAAAUAUCAUAUGCAAUACAACUAUGCAAAAGCUUGAUAUAAUACUAAACAUAAAUUCUUUGUGUUUAACAAGUAUAGUAAAAUCCAAAAGAAAGAUAUUGGAGCUCAAAAUACCUCACUGGAUGAAACUAAUAUGGAUGACCGAUCACCAAUUUAUAAUCUAGUAUUAUUUAGAAAAACAUAUGAAUGAUCUGCAAAAGAUUGAAACCCUAAAAAAAAUAUGAAUUAGUAACUAUUUUUUCAUAUGUAUGAAGAAAACACAUUAUACAAGGGAAGAUAUUAGAACGAAUACAUACCCAUAAUAAUGAAUAACCUCGCAUCACAAAUAGUGAUUUCUUCUUAGGUGGUAUCUCGGUGAAGCAAACCUGCUACAAUCUGCUAAAUGUCCUCCUC
rnacentral:lncRNA from 1 species